UACCAUGUGAUAGCUUUCUCAAAAGUUAAAAUCAAGAUAUACAAUCUCACAAGGUUUAAAAGUGAAAUAAAAAAUACAUAAAAAUUGAUUAAUGGAAAUCCAAGAACAAAUCAUUCUCUAUUUAACAAUGGACUUUUUUUUUUAAAAUAUCUUUUGACUAUAAAAUUAAAAAAUAUUUAUUUACAGCAAUAAUAAUGAGAGGUAGAAGACUUUUCAAUGAUAGAUA
rnacentral:lncRNA from 1 species